ensembl:ncRNA W02D7.9 ncRNA
GAAAGUGCAUAAAUGCCGGCACGAAACAAAUAAUCGGAGGACUAGAAUGAAAUAGUUCAUCGAAAAGCAGCAAAGUGGAGAUGAUUUGGAUUCACCACCUCCUCACAAAAGCCUAUGCACGAGGGACCUUCGGAUAUUUUUGGAGCUGGUUAUUUUCCCUUAUUCCUGUCCAUCGAAAGAACUUGAGGAGCUCCAACAAAGGAAGAAGGGGACUUGCUGCACAAUGGAAAAUUUUUAA